rnacentral:rRNA from 1 species
AUUGAACGCUGGCGGCAGGCCUAACACAUGCAAGUCGAACGAGUGGCGGACGGGUGAGUAAUGUAUGGGGAACUGCCCGAUGGAGGGGGAUAACUACUGGAAACGGUAGCUAAUACCGCAUACUAUCGGAUGUGCCCAGAUGGGAUUAGCUUGUUGGUGGGGUAAAGGCUCACCAAGGCGACGAUCCCUAGCUGGUCUGAGAGGAUGACCAGCCACACGGGAACUGAGACACGGUCCAGACUCCUACGUGAGGCAGCAGUGGGGAAUAUUGCACAAUGGGCGCAAGCCUGAUGCAGCCAUGCCGCGUGUAUGAAGAAGGCCUUAGGGUUGUAAAGUACUUUCAGCGGGGAGGCGUUACCCGCAGAAGAAGCACCGGCUAACUCCGUGCCAGCCGCCGCGGUAAUUC